rnacentral:tRNA from 2 species
AACCUCUGAGCUAAGCUAAGUGGG